GUGUCAGCAGCCGCGGUAAAACGUAGGAGGCGAGCGUUAUCCGAAUUUACUGGGUGUAAAGCGCGUGCAGGCGGUUUGGUAAGUUGGAUGUGAAAUCUCCCGGCUCAACUGGGAGAGGUCGUUCAAAACUGCCAGACUAGAGGACGGUAGAGGAAGGCGGAAUUCCCGGUGUAGUAGUGAAAUGCGUAGAUAUCGGGAGGAACACCUGUGGCGAAAGCGGCCUUCUGGACCGUCCCUGACGCUCAGACGCGAAAGCUAGGGGAGCGAACGGGAUUAGAAACCCGCGUAGUCC
rnacentral:rRNA from 1 species